GGGGUUGUAGCUCAGUUGGUAGAGCAUCGGAUUGUGGCUCCGAGUGUCAAGGGUUCGAUCCCCUUCAACCCCU
rnacentral:tRNA from 1 species